GUUCUUAUCGUCUAAAGGUUCGGACGUUACUCUUUCAAAGUAAAAAUAUGAGUUCAAUUCUCAUUAAGAAUA
rnacentral:tRNA from 1 species